rnacentral:lncRNA from 1 species
AUGGUGGGAGGUUGGCCUUCCUUCCUUCCAGGUGCUCCAAGUUAAUAGUGAAAAAAAUAUUAGGGGGUGUCGUCUGUAUUCUAGCGAGUAGUUCAUUCUCAUCGGCCUGAAGAGACAUCUUCUCUUUUUAAUAAGGAAGCGUUUAGCAGGCGGUGGCCCUGGACGGGGAGGUAUGCAAGAGUUCUUUUGAACCGACUUUCAGCACUUUUGGCAAAUUCUGGACUGCCCUGGAAUUUUCACCAGGAUAAAUGGAGUGACCGGGCUGUUCUUCUUCUCCCUCUGUAGGAUAAUUCAGGAAUCCUACCCAAGAAUGUCAGUGCCAUCUUGGCUUAUAAAUGCUAGACUGAUUUUUUUUUCCUCCUCCUUCCCAAGGCCCCCCAGUACAUACUUGUAUAUUCUAGCUGUAGGCUGUGCUGUGUGGGACGCCACCUCGGCAUGGCUUGAGGAGCAGUGCUAGGCCUGCGCCCAGGAUCUGACCCGGCGAAAACCUGGGCCGCUGAAGUGGAGCGCACAAACUUAACCACUCGGCCACGGGGCCGGCCCCAGUGCUAGACUGAUUUUAUAUGACGAUCGCUUUUAGGCUAGUGGAGAGAGUUCAGAACUUGGAUCACAAUCCAUUGGCUUCAAAUGAAACUUACUAUCUCUGGGUCAAAUAUGCAUUUUCAGCAACAGAGCUUUCCCUUAAACCAGGAAUAGUGUGGGAAAUGCUGUUUUCAAAAUGCCUUUAUCAACCUUCUCUGCUCUCCAAGCCUCUGAGCUGCUUGCCCAUCCUCACAGGUGACCAGAGACCCUAAAGGAACGCCUCCAUCUUCUGCUACAGACACACACACACCCACACUGGUCCCCAUCCAACCUUCCUUGCUAUCUGCUCAAUAAUGGUUCCUGGAAGGAACACUGACCCUCCUGCCCCAGAGCCUUUGCACAUGUCAGACUCUGCUGACAUGCCUCCACCCCACUCCUUCCUCCCAGUGUCAGCUCCAGCAGUGCUUCCUGAAAGGCUCCUUUGACUGCUCUUAGGGGUCAAAGCCCGUCUUGUGUGUCCUGACAUUGUGUACCUCUCCUCACAGGUGUCAUUUUACAUGUAUUUUUGUCUUUGUUCACUGUCUGUCUCUCCAAUGGGACUGAGCUUGAUGGAGGCAGGGCUACUGUCCAUGAUCACCUCUACCCAAAGAGGGAUUCAGGCCAAGGUGAAGAGCCCACCCAUGAGUAUAAUCUGCAGUCAGACAAGACGCAGCCUUCAAGCCUGGGAGAGGGGCUGUCACACUGACCACCACACGGUCCUGUGUUGUGAGCCCUUGAUUCCAGGGGAUGUAAUGAUACGUGUUAAUGCCCCAGGAGAUGAGGACGUGGUAGCUAUCUAAAAAGAAGCAUUUUCAGAAAGACCUGUGGGCUGUUCACAGAACACAGACCUGCCGCUUCUCGUCUCCACUGCUAUCACCCUGGUCACAGCCUCCGUCAGCUCUCUGGUGGACCAUUCAAAAAUGUUCCCAUCGGGAGCCCACUUCCACUCCAGCUCUACAAAAUCCACCUUCUACACAACAGCUGGGACAACUGUCCAACAAUCUAAAUAGGAUCGCAUCACUGCCCGGCUCAUAGCUGGACGUGACUUAUUGUCCCAUUAGAACAGGCCCCGCCCCCUGGUCUGUGCGUCUCUGUGCCACCUGGCCCCCACCUGGCUCUCCCAUCUCUCUCCUCGCCUGCUCUGCUCCGGCCACCCUGGCUGCUCUGGGAACCUCAGACACUCCAACUGGGGCUUGUUCUCUCUGCUGGGAAAGCUGUCCAUGGCUGUCGCUUCUCUCAUUCGGUGUCCCUUGAAUUGUCAUCUCCUUGGAGAGGCCUUCCCUGGUCGUCAGGCAUAUGGUUCUCAUCUUGUCCUCUUUUAUUUUCUUCUUGGCUCUUAUCUCUGUCUGAGUUGCCAUCUGUCUUCUUGUUGGUGGGUUUACUAUCUGUCUUUUCAUCCCAUGCUCGUUCCUGAGAGCAGGGGCCUCCUUAGUACACGACUGAGUGCUCAGCACUGAGAGGACCUGGGACUGGGUGGCCCUUAGCACAGAUUUGCCGAGUGGAAGAAUGAAAAUUAUUGCCAAAAGUUGUGAUUGAGGUGGAGGUGAAAUACAGCUCCUUGGGACUGUGGGGGUCCUGGGGUUCAUCUAAUCCAAUACAACCUCCCUGAGGUGGGCGUCCACACUCUGCCUGAGCGCUUGCAGGGACUGACAGCUAAUUACUGCUCAGGGGACAAAGGAGGAAAAACAAAAAUAGCCUACAACAUAACCCAGUGAGGUGACAUUAUGUAAUUUUCAUGAGCUAAUUUAAUGAACCCACUCUGAUUCACCACUUAGUAGAGCAUUUAUUAAGCACAUACUCAGUGGGGGAGGCAGACAUGCAAAAAACUAACCUAGAGAGGCGCCCUGAGACGGAGGACUUCCACAGAGCAUGACUCGGGAGGCAGCAGCCCAGCCAAGCUGGGCCCAGCUGUCUCAGUGUAGAUGGCAAUGACUUCGGCCGGAGCAGGCAGCUGUGAGAGGUGGACACAGGACCACCCUGCUAGAAACGACAUUUCCCAGCCUCUCUUGCAGCUAGUGGGGCUAAGUGUGACCAAGUUCUCGCCGGUGUGAGCUCCCAUCAGGUGUGCAAUGUCCUGGUGGGGUCUUGACACACUGGCACGACCCCCCUUCACUCUCCCUUCUCCCUCCCCUGCUGACAGGCUUGGCAGGGACCUGGCUUCAGCCACAGCGACGAGUGCCACUACCUGGAACACGCAGAGACAAGGAUGAGCUGCGGGAGCACAGCCUCCGCGCAGGCCCACACCACCCAGCUGGGACCCACGAAUCUGCUCUUUGGAACCCACGGAAGAACCCAGGGGGCAGCGAUUUCAGUCAAGACAGGACCUGAUCACGUCCACGGCAGCUCUGGGUGGGCGAGGGGCCCCACGCAGGAAGCCAGGCCAACAGGGGCUGAGAAGCAAGUGCGGCGGAGGCUUGACCCAGGAGUUCACAGGACGGAAGAGGUGGAUGAGAGAGUCAGAGCAGAGGAGGCCUGGGCACGUGACCAACGACGAAGCAAGAGUCUGGAGGGGACAGAGUUCAAAGGAGAGGGAGGGUGUCUGCUUGGUCACCAGCUAGGGAGGGUGCAGGGGCGAUGACUCCAGCUCUUUGACACGGCCGGUUUACAGCGAUGAGUGGAGGAGCUGCAAGGGACUUGGACUGAGGGAGCGGCUCCCGGAAAGCCGUGGACAUUCACGUAGAAGUUUAGAGGGGGCCCAGGCUGAAGAGUCCAGGCUCAUCGAGGAUGGGUGACCGCGGGCGCCGUGGGAGUCCACGGCCUCCUCCAGGGAGAGGCUGUAAAUGAGACAGAAAGCUGGACCCUGCAGAGACCCACCUCGGAAGGGAGGCAGGAGAGCAGCCAAUGAAACGCGAGAAGGAGAGGAGAGUGAGAGAGAUGGAGACACAGAGAGAGAGACAGACAGAGACCAAAGGGCAGAAAGGUCGAGCCAAAUGAACCCUGCCAGGCCACCGGACUGUGCGGCUCAGAGGUCACUGGGCAUCCCUGAGUCUUGUUCUUUUGCUGACUCUGCCAUGAAUGUCCUUGCCCUUAGUAAAGACACAGCCAAGUAAUUAGGGAUAAGGAGACAUGACAUCUGCAGUUUACCUGCAAAUGGUUUAGAGAAUAAUACGUAUAUACAUAGAGAGAGAGAGAAUGCUAAAGCAAAUGUGGCAGACGUUCACAAGCGGAGAAUCUGGGCCAAGAGUUUGGG